UGGUGGCAAGUCUGCCGCUGAUAAAGGAAAGGAUACUCGUGAUUAUCUUGCUGCUGCAUCUCCUGAGCUUAAUGCUUGGGAGCGUGCUGGUGCUGAUGCUUCCUCUGCUGGUAUGGUUGACGCCGGAUUUGAGAAUCAAAAAGAGCUUACUAAAAUGCAACUGGACAAUCAGAAAGAGAUUGCCGAGAUGCAAAAUGAGACUCAAAAAGAGAUUGCUGGCAUUCAGUCGGCGACUUCACGCCAGAAUACGAAAGACCAGGUAUAUGCACAAAAUGAGAUGCUUGCUUAUCAACAGAAGGAGUCUACUGCUCGCGUUGCGUCUAUUAUGGAAAACACCAAUCUUUCCAAGCAACAGCAGGUUUCCGAGAUUAUGCGCCAAAUGCUUACUCAAGCUCAAACGGCUGGUCAGUAUUUUACCAAU
rnacentral:rRNA from 1 species